rnacentral:rRNA from 1 species
AUUGAACGCUGGCGGCAGGCCUAACACAUGCAAGUCGAGCGGGGUUUUCGGACCUAGCGGCGGACGGGUGAGUAAUGCGUAGGAAGCUACCCGAUAGAGGGGGAUACCAGUUGGAAACGACUGUUAAUACCGCAUAAUGUCUACGGACCAAAGUGUGGGACCUUCGGGCCACAUGCUAUCGGAUGCGCCUACGUGGGAUUAGCUAGUUGGUGAGGUAAUGGCUCACCAAGGCGACGAUCCCUAGCUGGUUUGAGAGGAUGAACAGCCACACUAGAACUGAGACACGGUCCAGACUCCUACGGGAGGCAGCAGUGGGGAAUAUUGGACAAUGGGCGCAAGCCUGAUCCAGCCAUGCCGCGUGUGUGAAGAAGGCCUUCGGGUUGUAAAGCACUUUCAGCGAGGAGGAAGGGGUGAGUGUUAAUAGUACUCAUCUUUGACGUUACUCGCAGAAGAAGCACCGGCUAACUCUGUGCCAGCCGCCGCCGUAAAAC